CUGGCCUCUGUGUGCAUGUAUGUGUGUUUGCAUCUGUAGGUAUUAUUUGGGAUUUUCUAUGCAUAGGAUCACACCAUCUGCAAAUUGAGAUCAUUUUGUUUUCUGUUCAAAAAUACUUUUUCUCAUGUUUAUUUUUAAAAGAUAAUUUGGCCAGGUGUAGAAUUGUAGGUGACAGUUUUUCUUUUUUUAAGUUCUUUAUUGCAAACUUCUUGUUUGUAUGUGAAAUCUUAUGCCAUCCUUAUAUUUAGUGCUCUGUAUGUAACAUGUUCUUUCCCUUUUUAUUCCUUUUAGGAUUUCCUUUUUAUCACUGGUUUUGAUGGAUUUGAUUAAGGCGUUCCUUGGUGAAGUUUUCUUCAUGUUUCUUGUUCUUAGAAUAAUCAUAUUUCUGUAAUAUUUGAAGUUUAUGGUUUCCAUGGAGCUUCUAAAUCUUUCAUCCAGUAUGUUUUAAAUAUCUUUGUCUCUCUUCUCCACUACACGCCCUUCAGGGAUUCCAUUUAGCCCUAUACUGGGGCGUUUAAAGUUUUGAUGCCGAUGGUGUUUUUAUGUUUUCAAGUCAUUUGUUACUGUGUGUUUCAUUUAUGUUAGUUUCAACUUCUAUUCCUUCUAGUUCAAUAAUCUUCUCUUCUGCAAUGUUUAAUCCACUGCCUUCUUCCAUUUCAGACUGUAAAUCAUACUUUUUAUCUACAGAAUUUGAUAUUUAAAAAAUCUUCAACCUCCCCAUUUAAUUAAAAUACAAUUAUACUAACUGCUGUAAUGUCCUUUUCUUCUAUUUCCAACAUGUCUGUCAAUUUCAACUAGAUUAUUAGAUUCUUCAUUAUGUGUCAUGUUUUCCUGCUUCUUUGGCUGCUUGAUAUUCUUUUAUUUUUAUUUAUUUUUUUUGCGGGGGGAUAGAGUUUUGCUCUCGUUGCCCAGGCUGGAGUGCAAUGGUGUGAUCUCAGCUCACUGCAACCUCCACCUCCCAGGUACACAAGCGAUUCUCCUGUCUCAGCCUCCCAAGUAGCUCAGAUUACAGGCAUGCACCAUCAUGCCUGGCUAAUUUUUUUGUAUUUAGUAGAGAUGGGGUUUCACCAUGUUAGUCAGGCUGGUCGUGAACUCCUGACCUCAGGUGAUCCAUCUGGCUGCUUGAUAUUCUAAGAUUUGAUGCUGGAACUUUGGUGUCAAUGCUCAAAAUGCCCAAAGACACCACUCAACCUCAGUGUCUAUGCACACCCAAGCUUUUGCAGCAGGACAGGUAGAGCAGAGAUGAAUGUGCUACAACAUGCUGGUAGAGGGUACCACCAAUUGUGCUUGGGGAUUUCCUAUUCCUCAUGGAAAAAUGUGUCUUCCUUAAUUUUUCCCAUAAGAACCACCCUACUUCAUGCCCUGUCUCUCUGUCCAAACACCAGGACAGUCCUCUCACCAGUCUCAACCACCCAAUGGAUUGACAAAGGUGCAAAUAUGAUUCAGUGGAGAAGGCAUUCUCUUGUCAACAAAUUGUUUAGAAACAACUUUUUUUUACACAAUUUGUUUUUUUUUAUCCCCAAAGGAAAAAAAUUCACCUGAACCUCAAUACUAACUCAAAAACUAACUCAAAAUGGAUUAUGCAACUAAAUAUAAACUAUAAAACUAGAAAAAGUAUAGCAGAAAAUAUAAGACAAAAUCUUCAUGACACAGAGUUAGGCAAAGUGUUCUUUAUUAUCAAUAAACACAAACCAUUAAAGAAAACAUUGAU
rnacentral:lncRNA from 1 species